rnacentral:rRNA from 1 species
GAUGAGCAUGCGUCCCAUUAGCUUGUUGGUAAGGUAACGGCUUACCAAGGCAACGAUGGGUAGGGGUCCUGAGAGGGAGAUCCCCCACACUGGUACUGAGACACGGACCAGACUCCUACGGGAGGCAGCAGUGAGGAAUAUUGGUCAAUGGGCGCAAGCCUGAACCAGCCAUGCCGCGUGCAGGAUGAAGCAUCUAUGGUGUGUAAACUGCUUUUGUACGAGAAGAAACACUCCUACGUGUAGGAGCUUGACGGUAUCGUAAGAAUAAGGACCGGCUAACUCCGUGCCAGCAGCCGCGGUAAUACGGAGGGUCCAAGCGUUAUCCGGAAUCAUUGGGUUUAAAGGGUCCGUAGGCGGUUUUGUAAGUCAGUGGUGAAAGCCCAUCGCUCAACGGUGGAACGGCCAUUGAUACUGCAAGACUUGAAUUAUUAGGAAGUAACUAGAAUAUGUAGUGUAGCGGUGAAAUGCUUAGAGAUUACAUGGAAUACCAAUUGCGAAGGCAGGUUACUACUAAUGGAUUGACGCUGAUGGA